rnacentral:rRNA from 1 species
GAUGAACGCUGGCGGCGUGCCUAAUACAUGCAAGUCGAGCGAACAGACGAGGAGCUUGCUCCUCUGACGUUAGCGGCGGACGGGUGAGUAACACGUGGAUAACCUACCUAUAAGACUGGGAUAACUUCGGGAAACCGGAGCUAAUACCGGAUAAUAUAUUGAACCGCAUGGUUCAAUAGUGAAAGACGGUUUUGCUGUCACUUAUAGAUGGAUCCGCGCCGCAUUAUCUAGUUGGUAAGGUAACGGCUUACCAAGGCAACGAUGCGUAGCCGACCUGAGAGGGUGAUCGGCCACACUGGAACUGAGACACGGUCAAGACUCCUACGGGAGGCAGCAGUAGGGAAUCUUACGCAAUGGGCGAAAGCCUGACGGAGCAACGCCGCGUGAGUGAUGAAGGUCUUCGGAUCGUAAAACUCUGUUAUUAGGGAAGAACAAAUGUGUAAGUAACUAUGCACGUCUUGACGGUACCUACUCAGAAAGCCACGGCUAACUACGUG